rnacentral:rRNA from 1 species
UGAGGAAUAUUGGUCAAUGGGCGUGAGCCUGAACCAGCCAAGUAGCGUGCAGGAAGACGGCCCUAUGGGUUGUAAACUGCUUUUAUGCGGGGAUAAAGGAGUCCACGUGUGGAUUUUUGCAGGUACCGCAUGAAUAAGGACCGGCUAAUUCCGUGCCAGCAGCUGCGGUAAUACGGAAGGUCCGGGCGUUAUCCGGAUUUAUUGGGUUUAAAGGGAGCGUAGGCCGCGUUUUAAGCGUGUUGUGAAAUGUAGACGCCCAACGUCUGCAUCGCAGCGCGAACUGGGACGCUUGAGUACGCGCAACGUUGGCGGAAUUCGUCGUGUAGCGGUGAAAUGCUUAGAUAUGACGAGGAACUCCGAUUGCGAAGGCAGCUGACGGGAGCGGCACUGACGCUUAAGCUCGAAGGUGCGGGUAUCAAACAGG